rnacentral:rRNA from 1 species
CCCUUAGAUGUCCGGGGCUGCACGCGCGCUACACUGAAUGAAUCAGCGUGCUAGAAAACCUUGUUUGACAUGGCUAGGUAACCCAUUGAAAAUCAUUCGUGAUUGGGAUCGGGACUUGCAAAUGUGUCCCUUGAACGAGGAAUUCCCAGUAAGUGCGGGUCAUCAGCUCGCGUUGAUUACGUCCCUGCCCUUUGUACACACCGCCCGUCGCUCCUACCGAUUGAAUGUUCCGAUGAAUACCAUGGACUGAGAGUAUGAAUGGGUUCGCCUAUUUCUGCUUCUCGGGAAGUGGAGUAAAUCUUAACAUUUAGAGGAAGGAGAAGUCGUAACA